rnacentral:rRNA from 1 species
UACAGAGGGGGCAAGCGUUGUUCGGAAUUACUGGGCGUAAAGGGCGCGUAGGCGGCCUGUUAAGUCGAACGUGAAAUCCCCAGGCUCAACCUGGGAACUGCGUCCGAUACUGGCAGGCUUGAAUCCGGGAGAGGGAUGCGGAAUUCCAGGUGUAGCGGUGAAAUGCGUAGAUAUCUGGAGGAACACCGGUGGCGAAGGCGGCAUCCUGGACCGGCAUUGACGCUGAGGCGCGAAAGCCAGGGGAGCGAACGGG